GGCCUCCUGGUGCCUGUAUAAAAAGAAGAGGCAGAGCAAACCUGCCCCAUGUAUACCUCAGCCCAGGCCAUUGAGCUUAGCCUGUAUUGUGACUGGAAAGACAUAG
rnacentral:snoRNA from 1 species